GACGUAGGGCGCGAGCGUUGUCCGGAUUUAUUGGGCGUAAAGAGCGUGUAGGCGGCCGCACAGGUCCGUUGUGAAAACUGGAGGCUUAACCUUCAGACGUCGAUGGAAACCGUGCGGCUAGAGUCCGGAAGAGGAGAGUGGAAUUCCUGGUGUAGCGGUGAAAUGCGCAGAUAUCAGGAAGAACACCCGUGGCGAAGGCGGCUCUCUGGGACGGUACUGACGCUGAGACGCGAAAGCGUGGGGAGCGAACAGG
rnacentral:rRNA from 1 species